ensembl:snoRNA
CCUGUACUGAGGACUCCACAUCUGGACGCAGUACUCCAGGUGAGGCCUCAGCAGCAGAGAGUAGAGGGGCAGGAUCACCUGCCUCACUCU